rnacentral:rRNA from 1 species
UACGAAGGGGGCUAGCGUUGUUCGGAUUUACUGGGCGUAAAGCGCACGUAGGCGGAUCGUUAAGUCGGGGGUGAAAUCCUGGAGCUCAACUCCAGAACUGCCUUCGAUACUGGCGAUCUCGAGUCCGGAAGAGGUGAGUGGAACUCCUAGUGUAGAGGUGGAAUUCGUAGAUAUUAGGAAGAACACCAGUGGCGAAGGCGACUCACUGGUCCGGUACUGACGCUGAGGUGGCGGAAAAGCGUGGGGAGCCAAAGCUAG